GUGUUGUAUGAAAGGAGAGAAGGUUAGCAUUCCCCUUGCCAAGGAUGGAAGAAGCCCUCAGGCCUGACAACAUGCAUAUGGUUAAGGCAUCGCCAUUGCCACCUAUUUCGUGCCAUCUAACCAUUGUUAUUU
ensembl:snRNA